GAUGAACGCUGGCGGCGUGCCUAAUACAUGCAAGUCGAACGAAACUUCUUUAUCACCGAGAGCUUGCACUCACCGAUAAAGAGUUGAGUGGCGAACGGGUGAGUAACACGUGGGCAACCUGCCCAAAAGAGGGGGAUAACACUUGGAAACAGGUGCUAAUACCGCAUAACCAUAGUUACCGCAUGGUAACUAUGUAAAAGGUGGCUAUACUACCGCUUUUGGAUGGGCCCGCGGCGCAUUAGCUAGUUGGUAGGGUAAAGGCUUACCAAGGCAAUGAUGCGUAGCCGAAUUGAGAGGUUGAUCGGCCACAUUGGGACUGAGACACGGCCCAAACUCCUACGGGAGGCAGCAGUAGGGAAUCUUCCACAAUGGGCGAAAGCCUGAUGGAGCAACGCCGCGUGGGUGAAGAAGGUCUUCGGAUCGUAAAACCCUGUUGUUAGAGAAGAAAGUGCGUGAGAGUAACUGUUCACGUUUCGACGGUAUCUAACCAGAAAGCCACGGCUAACUACGUG
rnacentral:rRNA from 1 species